AGAAUCAACGCUGGCGGCGUGCCUCAGACAUGCAAGUCGAACGAUUAAAGCUCUCUUCGGAGAGUGCAUAGAGUGGCGCACGGGUGAGUAACACGUAAGUAAUCUACCCUCGAGUGGGGAAUAACAUCGGGAAACCGAUGCUAAUACCGCAUAAUGCAGCGGCACCGCAAGGUGACAGUUGUUAAAGAUUUAUCGCUUGAGGAGGAGCUUGCGGCAGAUUAGCUAGUUGGUAAGGUAAUGGCUUACCAAGGCUACGAUCUGUAACCGGUCUUAGAGGACGGUCGGUCACACUGACACUGAAUAACGGGUCAGACUCCGUACGGGAGGCAGCAGUCGGAAUUUUGGGCAAGUGGGCGAAAGGCCUGACCCAGCAACGCCGCGUGAAGGAUGAAGUAUUCGGUAUAGUAAACUUCGAAAGAAUAAGGAAAGAAUAAAGUAGAACGGUAACUAUUUAAGUAAGGUUACCGACGUAACUACGUAGCCUAGACCGAGCCGGACGUAAUCGUAGA
rnacentral:rRNA from 1 species